GAAAAGAGGGAGUGCCUGCUAAAGCAGCAGAUGGUGCUUCCACAACCAGCUCUCCCAUCCUGGCCCUGCACACACAGAUGUUCAGUCUGGAAACCCCAGUUCUAUCAGCACAUAAACCAAUCCUCCUCUGAUUCUCUUCACUGCUCCAUUUUGGAGCACUGUGUUUUGAAGAGGGUCUGGACAAACAAGAUCUAAAAUUAGACUCAGAAGUAUUAUGGAGUGGGAAAAUUG